CCCCUAGAUGUUCUGGGCCGCACGCGCGCUACACUGAACAGUUCAACAAGUCUUAACCUUGGCCGAUAGGUCUGGGUAAUCUUUGAACGCUGUUCGUGAUUGGGAUAGACCUUUGCAAUUAUGGGUCUUCAACGAGGAAUUCCUAGUAAACGCAAGUCAUCAGCUUGCAUUGAUUACGUCCCUGCCCUUUGUACACACCGCCCGUCGCACCUACCGAUUGAAUGGUCCGGUGAAAUCUCGGGACGGCGGCUUGGUCGCUUGCGUCCGACUGCUGAAACUUGAUUAAACCAUAUCAUCUAGAGGAAGGUGAAGUCGUANCA
rnacentral:rRNA from 1 species